rnacentral:rRNA from 1 species
GAAUAUUGGACAAGGGGGGCAACCCUGAUCCAGCCAUGCCGCGUGUGUGAGGAAGGCCUUGUGGUUGUAAAGCACUUUAAGCAGUGAAGAAGACUCGAUGGUUAAUACCCAUGGAAGCUGACAUUAGCUGCAGAAGAAGAACCCGCUACAUCUGUGCCAUCAGCCGCGGUAAUCCAGAGGGUGCAGACGUUAAUCGGAAUUACUGGGCGUAAAGCGAGCGUAGGUGGCUUGAUAAGUCAGAUGUGAAAUCCCCGGGCUUAACCUGGGAACUGCAUCUGAUACUGUUAGGCUAGAAUAGGUGAGAGGAAGGUAGAAUUCCAGGUGUAGCGGUGAAAUGCGUAGAGAUACGGAGGAAUACCGAUGGCGAAGGCAGCCUUCUGGCAUCAUAUUGACACUGAGGUUCGAAAGCGUGGGUAGCAAAC